UAGGUUUUCUUUCUUUUAAUUCUUAUAGGUAGAAGAAACAAUCAUUCCAGAAAAAGAAGAAGUUCAGUGUUAUGUUACCUAUGAGAAAUGAGUUAGUGAAAUUAGAUUGCUUGGUUUCUUUAUCCAAAAUGCAAGGAGAACAGCAAAUGAGAAGAACUUAUAGAUGGAAAAUAAGUGACAUAAUAUCAUUAAAAGGUUUAUUUUUCUGCUUCUAAAAUUUGAUUUGGCCAAAGAGGCAGACUGAAGUAUGCAAGAAGUAAAUUCCAUUUUGUUGGAACUAGUUCAGAAAUUUUAAAAAGAUAGGAAAUAUUGUAUU